rnacentral:rRNA from 1 species
GGCUCAGGAUGAACGCUAGCUACAGGCUUAACACAUGCAAGUCGAGGGGAAACGACAUCGAAAGCUUGCUUUUGAUGGGCGUCGACCGGCGCACGGGUGAGUAACGCGUAUCCAACCUGCCCACCACUUGGGGAUAACCUUGCGAAAGUAAGACUAAUACCCAAUGACGUCUCUAGAAGACAUCUGAAAGAGAUUAAAGAUUUAUCGGUGAUGGAUGGGGAUGCGUCUGAUUAGCUUGUUGGCGGGGUAACGGCCCACCAAGGCAACGAUCAGUAGGGGUUCUGAGAGGAAGGUCCCCCACAUUGGAACUGAGACACGGUCCAAACUCCUACGGGAGGCAGCAGUGAGGAAUAUUGGUCAAUGGGCGAGAGCCUGAACCAGCCAAGUAGCGUGCAGGAUGACGGCCCUAUGGGUUGUAAACUGCUUUUAUAAGGGAAUAAAGUGAGUCUCGUGAGACUUUUUGCAUGUACCUUAUGAAUAAGGACCGGCUAAUUCCGUGCCAGCAGCCGCGGUAAUACGGAAGGUCCGGGCGUUAUCCGGAUUUAUUGGGUUUAAAGGGAGCGUAGGCCGGAGAUUAAGCGUGUUGUGAAAUGUAGACGCUCAACGUCUGCACUGCAGCGCGAACUGGUUUCCUUGAGUACGCACAAAGUGGGCGGAAUUCGUGGUGUAGCGGUGAAAUGCUUAGAUAUCACGAAGAACUCCGAUUGCGAAGGCAGCUCACUGGAGCGCAACUGACGCUGAAGCUCGAAAGUGCGGGUAUCGAACAGGAUUAGAUACCCUGGUAGUCCGCACGGUAAACGAUGGAUGCCCGCUGUUGGUCUGAAUAGGUCAGCGGCCAAGCGAAAGCAUUAAGCAUCCCACCUGGGGAGUACGCCGGCAACGGUGAAACUCAAAGGAAUUGACGGGGGCCCGCACAAGCGGAGGAACAUGUGGUUUAAUUCGAUGAUACGCGAGGAACCUUACCCGGGCUUGAAUUGCAGAGGAAGGAUUUGGAGACAAUGACGCCCUUCGGGGCCUCUGUGAAGGUGCUGCAUGGUUGUCGUCAGCUCGUGCCGUGAGGUGUCGGCUUAAGUGCCAUAACGAGCGCAACCCCUCUCCUUAGUUGCCAUCAGGUCAAGCUGGGCACUCUGGGGACACUGCCACCGUAAGGUGUGAGGAAGGUGGGGAUGACGUCAAAUCAGCACGGCCCUUACGUCCGGGGCUACACACGUGUUACAAUGGCAGGUACAGAGAGA